UGUGAAGUAUGUGAAGUUUAUAUUUUAGUGUUUAUUAUUGUUGUUUAUUCAAUAGACUAUAAUAAUAGUGAACACGGCAAAAGAUGUUUUGCCUUUUACCGUUUUCCAUUUUUUUGUCAGGCUAAAAACUAUUCUAUCUUUCAAGUACAAAAUUUCUAUAAAAUUAGUUGAGUGGUUUAGGAGAUGAGCUUUUAAUUAACAAAUGUAAUUUAUGAAUAUCAAGAAUCGUCUAGCAAGCUUUGCAUAACACAGAGAUAAUCCACCGAGGUGGCAAGAGAGUGAAUUAGAAGUAUUCCACGGGUUAGCACAUCUCGAACUUUCCACAUCUCACGAGUAGCACAUGGAUAGAAAGCGACAGACAACGCCCGUUUUAAUAUACUAUUUGGCAAGAACCUCCAUGAUUGAUCAGUCCACCAGCUGAAAAUAAAAUUAUUAUUGGAAGGUGGGAAAAGGUGCACCAUAACGCCAGAGAGAGUAGACAUCGCUUGCGAACUCUCGGAGCAGUACCUUCACACGACCCAGCCUUGACGCCGAGCGUAGCUGCUGAAAAGUUACAUAGUGAAAAUAAUAUGGAGUUGGAUAAAGCUGGAGAAUAUUUUCUACUUCUAUGCCAAACAAGUAUACGAUCUGUUUGAUGGUAAACGGGAUUACCGUAUCCUAUGGACGCCUGUAAUACCAGGGUUGCCACGCGUGCGUUGCCGAUAUUUAAGAAACCUUAAUGAAGAACCUCA